GGAACUCAAACGGUGUUUGAACACUGAAUGAAGAUUAUGCACAGCAGUCCCAGGGAGCCGUGUGGCGUUCUUGCGCAUGCACGCAGCUCAGAGGGAACAUUGUUUGAGAGCCUUUGGAGCUGAAGGUGAGAUGCCUCUAAAAAGAAUGCUGACACCACAAUUUGAAGCAUCAGGGAGUUUAGUUUUUUGUCUUGGUUGGUGACGUCGGGUCCAGGGCCGCUGCCAAAGGAUACGGGGGUGCCUCAGCUGGCUCAUCAGUUUUUCCAUGCCUUAGCUGGCUCAAGAGGUUUCCUUGCCUCGGUUGGCUCAGCAGGCUCCCACCCCACGUCAUGCCUCAGCCGGUUCGCCAGGCUCC